ensembl:lncRNA
GUGUGGUCUAGCUGAGGCUGUACAUCACACGAUAAAUAGCUGACAGCUUUGGGAAUAUGUGAUUGUCCUGGAAACACAGCAAAAUGGGAAUGAACAGAAAGAACUCAAGGGGGGGAGAAAAGGGACCCUGGUAACACACAGCUGGGGUCAGGAGCGGUACACUUGUGGGGAACAAAAAUAAAAGGAGCACAGAGGUUAAUAAAAUGGGGACACAGUCCUCUCUCCAGACACAGUCGGGCGAAAAUUACUUAUCACCUGCUGGAGUGGAUGUGAGAAGCGGCCCGUGAGCAAGUGUGUGGCAGGGAGUAUUUUGUGAGGCAGAGGCAAUCUCCGCACAGCGCCCUGCAACAGGCUUCCUCAGGCUCCCUGGCGGAGCAGACUCCGCGGCUCUGUCUCCUCAUUAGAGGACAACAGCUGUUUCUCCCUAUAAUUAGCUCACAGAUCAAUAGUUAGCCCCCAGUCCCUUACACCUGUACCACACGCAACAUGGAAAUUACAACAGCACAUGUUGUUUUUUUCUUAAAUUACCUCCACUUACACACGUUGUUAAGCAUCUAAUAGAAAACAACCGUACCUUCCCGGCUCCCUUCCUCCUCGGAAGGCUUUUUAAAAGGUCGCCAUUGAAAUACAUCAGAUUUAAAAUCUGCAAGGUCUUCAGGCCAAACUCACAGGAAAGUCAGGAAAACUAGAAGCUGUGAAGGACACGGAUCUGCUGAAUAUAUUAACCUCGCAUAUGUGUGUGGAUAUGUGUUUUCUAAUCCUCUAAGGAGGAGACAAGUGCUGUUCAGAGCAUUUUAAGCCCUUCGUCUUUCACCACAGACACCAGCAGACCUGACGGGACGCUGCAGAGGCAGCAGCUGCAGUGAGCAGGCAUGAUGAAAGCACCAGGCCGUGAAGCCCCAUUAGGAAAAGCCAGCCUUCCGGGAUGGAGUGGAACUGUUGAGCGUUGCCCUGGAAAUGUGAACUAGAGGCUUGACGUUUGAGCAA